AUUGAACGCUGGCGGCAUGCUUUACACAUGCAAGUCGAACGGUAACAGGCCUUCGGGUGCUGACGAGUGGCGAACGGGUGAGUAAUGCAUCGGAACGUACCCAGAGGUGGGGGAUAACGCAGCGAAAGCUGUGCUAAUACCGCAUGUGAUCUGAGGAUGAAAGCGGGGGACCGAGCAGCAAUGUUUGGCCUCGCGCCUUUGGAGCGGCCGAUGUCGGAUUAGCUAGUUGGUGGGGUAAAGGCCUACCAAGGCGACGAUCCGUAGCUGGUCUGAGAGGACGACCAGCCACACUGGGACUGAGACACGGCCCAGACUCCUACGGGAGGCAGCAGUGGGGAAUUUUGGACAAUGGGCGCAAGCCGGAUCCAGCAAUGCCGCGUGCGGGAAGAAGGCCUUCGGGUUGUAAACCGCUUUUGGCAGGAACGAAACGGUGUCCGCUAAUACCGGGCGCUAAUGACGGUACCUGCAGAAUAAGCACCGGCUAACUACGUG
rnacentral:rRNA from 1 species